rnacentral:rRNA from 1 species
UACUCCUACGGGAGGCAGCAGUGGGGAAUUUUGGACAAUGGGCGAAAGCCUGAUCCAGCAAUGCCGCGUGUGUGAAGAAGGCCUUCGGGUUGUAAAGCACUUUUGUCCGGAAAGAAAUCCUUGACUCUAAUACAGUCGGGGGAUGACGGUACCGGAAGAAUAAGCACCGGCUAACUACGUGCCAGCAGCCGCGGUAAUACGUAGGGUGCAAGCGUUAAUCGGAAUUACUGGGCGUAAAGCGUGCGCAGGCGGUUUGCUAAGACCGAUGUGAAAUCCCCGGGCUCAACCUGGGAACUGCAUUGGUGACUGGCAGGCUAGAGUAUGGCAGAGGGGGGUAGAAUUCCACGUGUAGCAGUGAAAUGCGUAGAGAUGUGGAGGAAUACCGAUGGCGAAGGCAGCCCCCUGGGCCAAUACUGACGCUCAUGCACGAAAGCGUGGGGAGCAAACAGGAUUAGAUACCCUGGUAGUCCACGCCCUAAACGAUGUCAACUAGUUGUUGGGGAUUCAUUUCCUUAGUAACGUAGCUAACGCGUGAAGUUGACCGCCUGGGGAGUACGGUCGCAAGAUUAAAACUCAAAGGAAUUGACGGA